UUUUUCUUUUUCUUUUUUCUUUUUUCAAGUCUAGUAAAUCCUUCUAAAAAAUGUAUAAUGGAUUUUUGUGUUGAAGGAGUAAAAGACUUGCUCAAAGGGCUAUAUUUUCAAAAAGUGUCAGCAUGAGGAUUCUGACAAGUUCUUCAUAGUGGGGUGCAUAAAUCAAGAUACAUGGAAUCUAUGGUCACUUUUGAAAAUUUUCACAAACUCAUUUUAAAAUUUUAAUCCAAUUUCUUUUUUUGGAACUGCAGCAAUCCUGUGAGUUUAUGUUAGCAGUUAUCAUUUAUGAAAACGUAUGCUGUCCCAAUUUCACACGUCCUUAAUUACCCAUCUCCUCCCACAGAAACCAUUAGCAAGUGAUACAUGAUAAGCAUUCCUUAAAAUAUAACAUGGAAUGCAAAGCAAUGUGUCAAGCUAUUCAGAAACUAUGCAUAUUUUGGUGACUCAGAACAAUGCACAGUAGCAUAAGGAGAUUAAUAAAAUUAAGAGUUCAUAUUCAUUCCAAGUUUCAGUUGGUCUUAUUUAAAUUCUGGGCAAUCCUAAGGUUAAAAAUAAGCCUUUCUUGUUUAAGCUUUUAAAUUGUAGCUUUAAUCCUUUGUCUCAUUUAAAUUUGAUAGACUAUAUUCAAAGCAGAUGGACUAUAAAUAUUCAUGAAUUAUUUAUUUAUUUAGUGGAAUGCUGCCCAUUAAAAACCAAAGAGGUCAGCAAAAUGCAAUUUCAUAACUUUCCACUGAUUAUUAAAAUAUUUUCUACAUGACCACAAGAAAAAAGAUGUUAAGUUUUGAUGUAAUAUUUGAACUCAGUAUUUCUUCAUAGAAAAUCUCUGGCAGUAAGUAUUCUUAAGGAGUACAUCAGACUUGUACUGGUAUUAUACCUGAUGCAGGAAUACAAAGAUGGUACAUUGAAGGCAUAGUAAUAUUACCUCCUUAAGAUUUUAGAACAAGUCUGAAUCAAAGUAUAAUUAAUUAUAUAAAUUAUAAGUGAAAUAAAAAUCUAGAUGCAUUCAGCAUAAGCAGAUCAUACUGGGGUAGUGCUGUAUCUCUCUUGGCUAAUGUAACAGGUUUUCUAGGCGAAGAAAAUGCAGUAGCAGCAGAUAAAUUAUAUCUGGACAUCAGAUUUAUUACAGAGUAACACCCGUAGGAAAUUACUUGUUAAGUUAGCAAACAUAGACAAGUGCAAGAAUUGUAAUACAAGUAGGAAAAGUCUUCAGCUUGAACUGUUUGGGGAAAAUAUAAAGCACAAAAUUGUUUGCAAUGAUACCAAGUUGGGAUGUGUUAGCACAGAAGUGGUCCAGACUAUCAGAGCAAAAUGGAAAACUUGGUAUAAAAGUAAGAGAGAAGUGAUGAUAUAUGUAUGAUAGAAGGAAGUGUCAUAUUGUGCUAGUAGCAAGACAUCAGGGCUUAUAGACUGGAAAUAAUAAAGAAGGAAAUGCUCACUACUAUUAAUCAGUCACAUCAGAUUUGUGAACCACUGAUCUGAAGAGGCUAUCAAAAUGACAAAUGUGAUCUCAGAAUGUGGCAAUUAAAUAUUUGAAGUAGAGAAAGAAAAACAAUAAUACUAUUGUAGAAGGUUUAGUGAAAUCUCACCUGAAGUUUCUGCCAUUUAUCUAUCAUAACACUGUACAGAAAUAAAAACUGUAGAGAAUUUCACAUACCUGCCAGUUGAAGACAAAGACUAUCUCUGGCUGCACCUACUAUGUGCAGCUAUCUCACUUUCCUAAGCCUGUGUGCAGUACUUAAUGCCCUAAUGUACUAUUAAAAAUGUAGGUUGUUCCAAAAGUAAUGCCUCCUAUUUAUUUUUAUUGACACUACAGCAGAAACAAAGAGCACAAUAACACUACUGAAGAGAGAAAAUUCUCAGCUAAAAAAAACACUAUUUUUCAGCUUAGUCACCACCAUUAGCUAUGCAUUUUCACCAGCAGUGAGCAAGAAUGUACAUGCCAUGCUCAGAACAACCUGCAUUGCUUUCCAGAAUGUAGAUGGACUGAAUGAAACCUGAGCUGUUAGAAGAAAGGAUUUCCUUCCAGAGGAAGAGAGAACAGGACUAGUCUAUGACUGUAACCUACCUCAAAGCAGAAAAUGUAAAGCUGCAUGUAGAAGGUAGAGCCUCACAUGUUCAGAUCAAUCACACUAUCUUAUAUCCCCAUUUUCUCAAGAACAGAGGGCAUAUCUGAGUGAUGUUUAAGCAGCAUUUUGAAUCUGAUUAUGAAUAAUAUAAAAAUUCUGGAUAUGUUAUAUGUAAUUAAUUAAAUAAUAUUCCAUGGAGCUGUAAAUAUAUAUUUCUUCAUAAAAAUUGUCAUUCUCUCAUAGAGAAAUAUUUAAGGAAUAAUUUAUGUUCCAGCCUUCAUCAGUGGAAUUUCAACAAAAUCUAGUGAGUGUUAGCAGUCCCAGCAAAUAUCUGAAAGCACUAGUAUGAAGUGUCGUAUUUUACAGCAUAUUUUUAUCAGGAAAUACAUCAAAAACAAAUAAUCCUCAGGCCGAAACUUUUAAUACUACGGAGGUUUUUCUCCCAUGAAUCCAUGAGAGAUUUACCUCAAUAGCUCCUAUUAACACAAGUAGGAGUUGCAAGUCAAUCCCCUAUACAUUAUUUGAAGAACUUAUCUCAAAGCAUGGCCCAAAGCAAAUUUUUAUUAUAUCUUAGUACUCUUGGGAACAGGGCUUUAUAAUGG
ensembl:lncRNA